rnacentral:snoRNA from 1 species
AAGCAACACUCUGUGGCAGAUGAUUGAAUCUGUUUGACAUAAUUUGAGCUUGCUAUAGGACAAAGUCUAACCUAUUCCUGUGUUCUGUAUGUGACAAGCCAUUAUGUAGAGUUAAACAGU